rnacentral:rRNA from 1 species
GGAAUUUUCCGCAAUGGGCGAAAGCCUGACGGAGCAAGACCGCGUGGGGGAUGAAGGCUCUUGGGUUGUAAACCCCUUUUCUCAGGGAAGAAGAACUGACGGUACCUGAGGAAUCAGCAUCGGUUAACUCCGUGCCCGCAGCCGCGGUAAGACGGAGGAUGCAAGCGUUAUCCGGAAUUAUUGGGCGUAAAGCGGUCGUAGGUGGCUGUUCAAGUCUGACGUUAAAGACCGGGGCUUAACUCCGGAAAAACUGUGGAAACUGAACAGCUAGAGUAUGGUAGGGGUAAGGGGAAUUCCCGGUGUAGCGGUGAAAUGCGUAGAUAUCGGGAAGAACACCGGUGGCGAAGGCGCCUUACUGGGCCAUAACUGACACUGAGGGACGAAAGCUAGGGGAGCG